rnacentral:rRNA from 1 species
AACGAACGCUGGCGGCAUGCCUAACACAUGCAAGUCGAACGAGACCUUCGGGUCUAGUGGCGCACGGGUGCGUAACGCGUGGGAAUCUGCCCUUCGGUUCGGAAUAACUCAGGGAAACUUGAGCUAAUACCGGAUGAUGUCUUCGGACCAAAGAUUUAUCGCCGAAGGAUGAGCCCGCGUCGGAUUAGCUAGUUGGUGAGGUAAAGGCUCACCAAGGCGACGAUCCGUAGCUGGUCUGAGAGGAUGAUCAGCCACACUGGGACUGAGACACGGCCCAGACUCCUACGGGAGGCAGCAGUGGGGAAUAUUGGACAAUGGGCGAAAGCCUGAUCCAGCAAUGCCGCGUGAGUGAUGAAGGCCUUAGGGUUGUAAAGCUCUUUUACCCGGGAUGAUAAUGACAGUACCGGGAGAAUAAGCCCCGGCUAACUCCGUGCCAGCAGCCGCGGUAAUACGGAGGGGGCUAGCGUUGUUCGGAAUUACUGGGCGUAAAGCGCGCGUA